GACGAACGCUGGCGGCGUGCUUAACACAUGCAAGUCGAACGAUGAAGCCGGAGCUUGCUCUGGUGAAUUAGUGGCGAACGGGUGAGUAACACGUGAGUAACCUGCCCUUGACUCUGGGAUAACUGCUAGAAAUGGUAGCUAAUACCGGAUACGACCCUCGGAGGCAUCUCCAGGGGGUGGAAAGAAUUUCGGUCAAGGAUGGACUCGCGGCCUAUCAGCGAGUUGGUGAGGUAACGGCUCACCAAGGCGACGACGGGUAGCCGGACUGAGAGGGUGACCGGCCACACUGGGACUGAGACACGGCCCAGACUCCUACGGGAGGCAGCAGUGGGGAAUAUUGCACAAUGGGCGCAAGCCUGAUGCAGCAACGCCGCGUGAGGGAUGACGGCCUUCGGGUUGUAAACCUCUUUUAGUAGGGAAGAAGCGAAAGUGACGGUACCUGCAGAAAAAGCACCGGCUAACUACGUGCCAGCAGCCGCAGUAA
rnacentral:rRNA from 1 species